UUGGAAUAAUUUAAGUAAAGCCUUGUCAUUUAUGAGUUUAUGGCUUUCCUUUUCAUCUAGGUUCUUUCUCUUUUAGUGACAGGGAUUCCUUUUGAUCCCUGUGGAUUGUAUCCUUCCUGUCCUUAUGUUAUCUGUGUGUUUUUGUUUCUGUAAGAGGCCUUCACUAACAAUGAGCAGAGCUUAUUUGCAUAGGCGAAAUGUUCUUAUUUGGUUGAAAGAAACUUCAUUCCUUUUAGUUAACUGUAGGUUUGGUUCAUAGAUGGUUACAAGUUAUCCCAUAUUUACUCAAUGUUUGUUAAAGUGUUUAGGACAAGUCAGUCAUUCUUAUUGCAUGUUAAUUUACUAAGUAGAUAAAGACUAGCCAAGGUUUAGUUGCAUUGUUCCACAGGAGUUAUCUGAUCUUGCUCGCGGACAACUCGGCCAUGACAACAACUGGAGAAGAACAGAUGGACAAACUCUGCGGGGGUCACGGGUCGACAAUGAAGUGCGAAUUCACACCACACUACAUUCCUUAGCUAAUCAGCGUUGCUACAGACACAAUCUCCCCUCCCUUUAGUGUAGCAACGCCUCUGUAACCAGGGAAACCAAAACAUUAAAUAGAGGAGCACGUGGAGGGAGAACUCAGAAUUGAUGGAGAUUGUAACCGAGUUUCCUCUCUCUAUCGUUCUCCUCGCGAGUAAACCUGUUUUGGUUCUUUUCUCCUCUUCCUUCCAGUGUGUGGUUUAAUGUCUGAUAGUAUUUAGACCUAACAUUUAUUUGGUCCUUCGAGCCGGAUGCCAAGACACCUGAGGAUUCCAGCGGGCGGCAGCGGAGAUCCAGAAAGACUGCGCGUGGCAGGACCUCCCUAGGUGGGGUCCUAGAAUCCUUUUCAAGGGCUGGCUGUCUGCUACGCCAGCUGGAGUCCAAAGGUUGAAGGCAAUCCGAGGUGCAGAGGUGAGGAGAACCAGAGGGUGAGUUUGUUUUGUUUUUUAAAAGAAUGAGCGGCCGAGGGCUCGUCGUGCCCUAUAAAAGUCCUAGGACAGAACGGAGAGGUCCGUUCUAAAGGUACCAAAACGGAGAGGUCCGUUGAAAUAAAAGGACAGAGGUGUCCAAGAAAAGUUACAAAACGGAGAGGUCCGUUCUAACGGUAACAAAACGGAGAGGUCCGUUUAAAUAAAAGGACAAAGGUGUCCGGUGGAGAGGUCCGUUUGUAGGGUUAGCGUAGUCCGCGGGAAACCGAAAGUCACGCAAUACUGUAUGAUUGAGAGUGUGAAUGGGAAUACGUAUCACUAGAUAUAGUAUUCCAUAUUAAAGCAGUGGGGAACACAUAACGUGGUUCUGUGGACGCAAUAGGCAAGGAUUUUCCACCAGCCACCAGAACGCUGGUAGAAGUGAGAAUCACCACAGGAUCUUUUCGUUAUCCCACUGGAAACACCCGACUUUAGAAACCCCUAUGGUUUUACAGUUGGGACCAAAUUGAUUAAAAUGGGGAACGGGAAGAGUAAAACUAAUAUUCGAGAUACUCUAAAAUGUAACGAUUGGAAAAUAAUUGAAAGGCAGGAUCUCGACCAACUUAGAAAUUUCGAUAAAUGGGUUAAAAAUAUAUAUAUAAAUUUGAGGGACAACUAAAAACAACUGAAUUAUUAGGACUUAGAGGUGCCAUAAACGAAACAACAAAAAGAAAUCUUAAAGAAAUUAAAGAAGGCAUCUGAUGAUGUAGAAGAGAAAGAGAAAGAGAAAGAGAAAGAGAAGAGAGAAAGAGAAGAGAGAAAGAGAAAGAGAAGAGAGAAAGAGAAAGAGAAGAGAGAAAGAGAAGAGAGAAAGAGAAGAGAGACAGAGAGACAGAGACAGAGAGACAGAGACAGAGAGACAGAGACAGAGAGACAGAGAGAGAGAGACAGAGAGAGAGAGACAGAGAGAGAGAGCUCAGAAAGCACUGUAUUGCAGGUAGGAAGAUGAUGAGACUGGGCCUAACAGUAGGCAGGCAAGAGGAAACCAAAAUUUACAGAGAGUUAGAGAAGAAGGGGGAGGUCUAGAGAAAGUAGAGAAGCAUGUAGAGAAAACACAUGCUACAAAUUCAAAACUAAAGAUCAUAGCGGGAGGUAUACAUAAAAUCACACCCUCCAUGCGGAAAGAGUAGUAAUAGACAAACAAAAACAAAUGAAAGCUUCAAAAGACACUUUUCCGGUAGACCAAUAGAAUUCUGGAGUUGCGGGGAAAACGGUCACAUGACACGUGACUGCACAAAUGAACAAAGACAGUUAUGACGAGGCCAAAAUCAAAUCAAAUCAGAUUUCCAUGUAAUGAAGUGGGAACCUGGCUGCCAAAAUUAAAGAGAAAUUAGCUUAAAUAUACAGGAGAUAUUUGUGUUAAAAGGAUAAAGUAAUACAAAGUAACACUUAAGUUAAAAUUUGCAAAAUAAAUGGAAAGGAAUUACAAAUAGCUUCUAAAAGUAAAAUAGAGAAUAAAUCUGACAAGUAAUACGAGCAAAAAGGUGUUCUUAGUGCGUUCUAUGUGUGUUCUUAUAUGUUUUACGUCAUGCUUUUGUGCUGGUGUGUGUGUGCGUGUGCGCGCAGAGGAUCCUCAUGAAUGGGUGUGCGUAUGAGUGCGAGUGAGAGGUGUGUUCUAUGGAAGAAAUCAGUCAUGGAGAAUGUUCUGGAGGCUGUUGAGCAAUAAUAGGGAAAUUGAGAAGUGGAUGAUGGUGUGUUUAAGUUGGUUGGAGAAACUAAGAUGAGCAGUGUGUGGAAGUAGAGAAAAUACCACGUGUGUGGCAGGAAGUGACUAGAAUGGUGGCUUGAUAGGACGAGAAUGAGACAGCAAAUGUUGUGUAGAAGACUGAAAGAUGUUGAAGGUGAACAUGAUGGGGGAGGGCAACGGCAAAGUUGGCCUGCCCUUUGAGAAGGUGAGACUGAUAAGCGUGCCUGCGCUUGCGCGUAGCCGCGGGGCGUAGCUGUCCGCAUGGGCCUGUGCUAUGCUCGUGUGGGUGGUGGGCCGGCAUCAUGAUUGUUGCAGGAAAUGGCCAGCCUGUGACCAAUCAACAUUGAUGCUGCGCCCCCCCUCGCACGAGGGGUGCUAUGGCUGCGGAUGAAGCAGAGAAAGUGUGCGUUUCUCAGAGAAUGUUUGAAUAUUUGGAGCAGGGUGAUGCUUAAGGAAGACAUGACAAUGUUUGCAUUAAGGAUGAAAGGCACUGAUAAAAAAAAAAAAAAAGAGUAUAACCAAAACGUCAGAGGAGGAUGACGUUUGCGCAGCGUUGUUUGUUGGUAUUGUUUGUGAGUUGUGUCUCUACUGUUUUUGUGUUGUCUGUGUACUGUAGGUGUUAUGUGUUAAAAGGGGGAAAUUGGCUAAUAUAGGUGCAAAAAAGAAUUUCCUACACUGUAGUCUAUCUGAUUUGCACCGCAAAACAAAAACGAUUUUGUAAAAAUAGGAAGUAAAAAAACAAAAAGCAAGCAAUUAGUUUAUGGGCAGAAACUAUAUUAAUAAAACUUAAUUAAAAACUAGCAUUAAGGCUAGGAAUUAAUGCCUAGCCUUGAUGAAACAAAAUUUGAGAUGGAAAGAACUUGCUUUCUGGAAUUGGAUGAAGAAAAAUUAUAAAAUAAUGACAUUUUGAAGCUAAAUUUAAAGGGUAUAGUCAAUUGGUUGUGUCAAGACUUUUAAGUUUUUACAUUUGAGAAUAAGAGAGCGAUCGAGUUGAAGUUAAGAAACAACAACAAUUAACUAUUAUACUAAUUUACUGACGGUUAUUUUGUUGAUUUUUAUCUUUUCCAAUUAGUGGAUUGGUUUGACACCUUGAGGAAGGAAAGACGCAAAACAUGUGUGCACUGGGACACUGAGAAGCAUUUUGAAAGGUGUGUCAAAUUGAAUGGAGAUGAAAUCAUAUGUAGUAAUACAACACUUUACUACAUAUGGAUUCCCUAAAUUGUACUAUUGAGUUACAUAAAACAUACAUUUUGAUUUUUAUUCAAAUUGCUAAGAUUCUUGUGAUAAACGAUGAGGAAAUGAUUGAAAAGAAACUACAACUAAGCUAGUAGCAGUCCAAUUGCCACGAAAAAUAGCUAUAUGCACGUGUGCAGGGCACACACGAGACUGAUAAGGUGCCAAGACGUAACAAGCUUGCAGACGGAACUGCGUAGCUGUAGUGCAAAAGACGCUUCAAAUUUUACACACAGAAGAAGCAGAUUAAAUUACUGAAAUAUUUUUAAAGAUGUGCAGCAACAAAAUCCAUCGACUGAAAUUCAAUUAUGGACGAAAAGAGGAGCAAGAGUGGAGAAUGGUAUCUAUAAAUGACCAGACGACUGACCUAUCCUCCAAAAACCUAUACAAGCGGGCAGCAAUAUUGAGCCAUGGUUGUGUGUCGCAUGGCUCAAGAGGGGGGAUAAUGGGGCAGUUCAGUCAGCUUUAUACAUCAUAUGAAUUUGAUUCAUAUUCAAAACGUUUAUAUAAAUUUUUUUUGUAGAGCUUGUUCAACAUGUGCUUAACACAAUCCACAGGGUUAUAAUGCCUGGUCAUAAUAGAUGCAUUCUAAAAAUGGAUUGAAUUGGCUUCAGAAUAAACAUUGAAUGCCUUAACAGUGGCAGAAGGGUUAUGUAAAGAAAUAAUAGUUUGUCAACAACUGCUGUAGAUGUUAAAGAAUGGAAUCAAUAUCUCGAAAAUGAAUGUGGAUAGUUUGUUUACUGAUUGUGAAAAUGUUUGACAAAGUGUUCAAUAUAAUAUCCGUUGAAUGGAAGAAAAAGAAAAGAAACCAUUGCUUUUAGAGAAUGUAGUCAACCAAAAUUGUAUAUGUAUCGACAUGCCAAGAUCUGGGAAAAAGCUGGAAAAAACAAAAAUAUAAUGUCUUUAAAUUUGAGAGGCGACGAUGAUCUGACUAAAAUUGAUGCAAUUAAAGUCCCCAGAGGAGUUCCUGAUUAAUAAGACUUAAUUGACCAAAUUGAACCGGGAUGGGAGUCCUCCAUUUGCUGCUGGUGGACGAUGAACAAGAAUGUUGACAGGAUAAAUUACAUCCAUUGCAACAUGCAGAAAUUGGGCAAACGGACACAAGCGGGACUUGAGGCAGUGCGCGAACAGCUAGCCACGCCUUCCCUAAGGUUAAUCCAGAACCGCAAUGCUCUUGUUAUGUUGUUGUCUGGGAAAGGAAGGGUCUGCGCAAUGUUCAGGGAACAAUGCUGCACCUUCAUCCAGAAUGACACCGCCCCUGAUGGGAGCCUGACAAAGAUGAUUGCAAACUUGCAAUCCCUCAACACGAGGAUGAAAGAGCACAACAAGUGGAUGACUGCUUUUGGGAAGUAUAAAGCCCUUGUGUCCUCAAUUACUGCUAUACUCACCUUUUGUGGAUGUUGUUGUAUUCCAUGUCUCCGUGCUCUGUUUAAUCGUCUUAUCACUACAGCAAUCUCGCCCAUGGACGACGAGAUGGCCCGGGUAUGCCUAAUGUCUGAACGGCAGCAUGUUGAUGAUAACAGUGAUGAUGAUGCAAUUUUUGCACUUGAGUUUACAGACUUUUUCCCAGAUCUGUGUGUUUCCGAAUGAUAAUAUCGCGACAUUUAUCCUUUUUUGGUGUAAACUUAUUUGUGCCAUACUUGUGAUCCGACAACUGAAAAUCGAGAGAAGUGGUUGUUUUUGGUGAUGUAAAUAUUGAGCAAAUAUGUGAUAAACAGGAGGGAAAUGUUGGAAUAAUUUAAGUAAAGCCUUGUCAUUUAUGAGUUUAUGGCUUUCCUUUUCAUCUAGGUUCUUUCUCUUUUAGUGACAUGGAUUCCUUUUGAUCCCUGUGGAUUGUAUCCUUCCUGUCCUUAUGUUAUCUGUGUGUUUUUGUUUCUGUAAGAGGCCUUCACUAACAAUGAGCAGAGCUUAUUUGCAUAGGCGAAAUGUUCUUAUUUGGUUGAAAGAAACUUCAUUCCUUUUAGUUAACUGUAGGUUUGGUUCAUAGAUGGUUAUAAGUUAUCCCAUAUUUACUCAAUGUUUGUUAAAGUGUUUAGGACAAGUCAGUCAUUCUUAUUGCAUGUUAAUUUACUAAGUAGAUAAAGUCUAGCCAUGGUUUAGUUGCAUUGUUCCACAGGAGUUAUCUGAUCUUGCUCGCGGACAACUCGGCCAUGACAACAACUGGAGAAGAACAGAUGGACAAACUCUGCGGGGGUCACGGGUCGACAAUGAAGUGCGAAUUCACACCACACUACAUUCCUUAGCUAACCAGCGUUGCUACAGACACAAUCUCCCCUCCCUUUAGUGUAGCAACGCCUCUGUAACCAGGGAAACCAAAACAUUAAAUAGAGGAGCACGUGGAGGGAGAACUCAGAAUUGAUGGAGAUUGUAACCGAGUUUCCUCUCUCUAUCGUUCUCCUCGCGAGUAAACCUGU